GACGAACGCUGGCGGCGUGCUUAACACAUGCAAGUCGAACGGAAAGGUCCUGCUUGCAGGGUACUCGAGUGGCGAACGGGUGAGUAACACGUGGGUGAUCUGCCCUGCACUUCGGGAUAAGCCUGGGAAACUGGGUCUAAUACCGGCUAGGAGCCAUUUUUAGUGUGAUGGUUGGAAAGUUUUUUCGGUGUAGGGUGAGCUCGCGGCCUAUCAGCUUGUUGGUGGGGUAAUGGCCUACCAAGGCGGCGACGGGUAGCCGGCCUGAGAGGGUGGACGGCGACAUUGGGACUGAGAGACGGCCCAGACUCCUACGGGAGGCAGCAGGGGGGAAUAUUGCACAAUGGGCGCAAGCCUGAUGCAGCGACGCCGCGUGGGGGAUGACGGCCUUCGGGUUGUAAACUCAUUUCGCUAGGGACGAAGCUUUUUGUGACGGUACCUAGAUAAGAAGCACCGGCUAACUACGUG
rnacentral:rRNA from 1 species